ACUUGUAACAAUUGAAACAGUACCACAUUUGUUUUGAUCGAAAUCGAUCAGUUCAACUAUUGAGCGGGCUUUUCACUGUGUGGAUGUGUGUACACAUUAAGUGUGCCAACAUGGAGCGUUGCACCGUAAAACAUAGAUUGAAUUUGGUUGGACAGGUUUGUCUGAGAGCAGAAAGAAGUCGACAAAUUAUCAUGAUCAGACUGACAAACAGCGGGAGCGGAGAUAGUUGACGUUGCCACGGGUCCAGUAACUGUUGAUGUCCUUCUAGAUUUGGUGUGACGAUGGCAGUGCAAAUAAUAUCACUUGGAUUAUACAUUUUUGUCGAGCCUGCGACUUUUGUCGCAGAAAGCUCGACAUAGGGAUAGCGAUCCGGCGGCGGCUACGGCGGCGGCGGCGGCGGCGGCGGCGUUAGCUAACUUCUUAAAAGCUUUAUAUUUUAGAAGAUGGAAGACCUGGAUGCUUCAUACUUUGUAUAUGGAUGCCUCAUGUUACGAAGUUUCCGUCAGUCACAUGUCCAAUGUCCUUGACCUCAUUUUCAUGGUUCAGUGACUACUUGAAAAAAAAGUUCAGAUUUUUUGUAAUGUUAAAUUCUCUCUUAUUAUAAGUAAUAGGAUAACUAUAUUUGGUAUGUGCGUACCUUGCAAGGUCCUCAUGCCCGUCAGACAGUUUUCACUUGACCUCGACCUCAUUUCAUGGAUCAGUGAACAAGGUUAAGUUUUCGUGGUCAAGUCCAUAUCUCAGAUACUAUAAGCAAUAGGUCUAGUAUAUUCGGUGUAUGGAAGGACUGUAAGGUGUACAUGUCCAACUGGCAGGUGUCAUCUGACCUUGACCUCAUUUUCAUGGUUCAGUGGUUAUAGUUAAGUUUUUGUGUUUUGGUCUGUUUUUCUUAUACUGUAUGCAAUAGGUCUACUAUAUUUGGUGUAUGGAAUGAUUGUAAGGUGUACAUGUCUAGCUGGCAGGUGUCAUGUGACCUUGACCUCAUUUUCAUGGUUCAGUGGUCAAAGUUAAGUUUUUGAGUUUUGGUCUUUCUUUCUAAUACUGCAUGCAAUAGGUCAGCUAUAUUUGGUGUAUGGAAUGAUUGUAAGGUGUACAUGUCUAGCUGGCAGGUGUCAUCUUACCUUGACCUCAUUUUCAUGGUUCAGUGGUCAAAGUUAAGUUUUUGAGUUUUGGUCUUUUUUUCUAAUACUAUAUGCAAUAGUUCAACUAUAUUUGGUGUAUGGAAAUAUUUUAUGAUCUAUAUGUCAGUCACGCAGGUUUUAUUUGACCUUGACCUCAUUUUCAAGGUUCAUUGCUCAGUGUUAAGUUUUUGUGUUUUUGUCUGUUUUUCUUAAACUAUAAGCAAUAGGUCAACUAUAUUUGUUGUAUGGAAGAAUUGUUAGCUGUACAUGCCUGCCUAGCAUGGUUCAUCUGACCUUGACCUUAUUUUCAUGGUUCAUUGGUCAAUGUUUAGUUUACUUGGUUAAUGUUAAGUUUAUGUGACAGUUGUAAUAAAGCUUUAUAUUUAGGACUAUCAACAUAAUAUCAAUGAUAAGUAAAGAAGGCGAGACAUUUCAGCGUGUGCACUCUUGUAUAGUGUACUAAAUAUAUAGAAAGCGAGCCAUAUUAUGCUCAACAAGCAGGAUUAGGAAUUUUAGUGUAGAAGAGAAGAAUAUCAAUGUUCCACUAUAAUGAAUAUGUGCUUGUGUGAUUAAUCUAUUUCCUGAAUGAUGGAUGGAUUGUAUGUUUUCGUUUCAUAUAUUCAAAGGACAGCGAAUCAGAAAAAGAUCUACAUGUUACGUGAUAUAUGGACAAUACUAUACAAAUUCAUACGGCAAAUUUAUAUGCCAUUUGGAAGCUAACAUUUAUACACAUGAUACACAUGUGAAUGUUAAAUAAAGGUAGGAUGAUAAUGAAUAAUUAUGAUCGGAUGAUAAAUAGUGGAAUAAUACAUACAGGAGGGAGUCGAGUGUACAAUACAUAUAUGUUAAAGAUUUUUUUUAAAUGACUGCAAAAUAAUCAGAUGAAGGUUUAUUUGCAAAUUGUUGUUGCUGUUAAUAUAUUUUUUUAUCAAGUACAUGUAUUAAAUCAAAUAUUAAAUAUAUUGAUUGUUUA